rnacentral:lncRNA from 1 species
UUGGCGCCUGUAAGAUCCUUAGAAAUGUUUGCAAAUCUUUCGCAAGUUUAGUGUCUCCAUGAUCCUUAUUUUAUUGCAUUUAGAACAACGAACAUGAAUCAUGGAUACGCAGAUAAAGCAUCCAAACAAUUGUUGAUACCUUGAACUACGAAACUACUUGUUUAUGCUAUAUCCCUAGGCAUGCUGGCAGAAUUCUCAACGCAUAAAGGCCUGAGUUGCAAGAGCAACAGGAACACAUAUACAUGUAAUUAAAUAGUGAGUAAAUAAUCUACACUUAUUGUCCAGAUCAAAGAGCAAAGAUGAAAACAGCAUAUUAGAGAUGGAAUACGAACCUACACAUUUUUUGUACAUGCUGUCCUUUUCAACCAGUUGUCCAAAAUGUUUUGACCAUAGACUGUAGACAGCACAAAUUACUCCACACCAUUAAGAUCUACAUGCGAGCACCUCUCGGAUGUGAAUGGAAAUUCAAGAAUACG